UGAGAAAAAAAGUGAUGGACUGGUCAAAGAUAGAAAGGGCAGACAGCUCAAGGUCACUGAGGAGAAAGAGGGACCUGAAGAAUCAGAUUCACAAGUAGGGGUAUGACUCACCAGUAGUAGUUUAGCUUCUAUUGCAUUUGGUUUUUUGAUAUUAAUUUGUUUUCUUUGCUUCACCUGAAACUGUAAUUACAUGCUUUAUUUUUUUCUUAUCUAUCUAUAUCUAUAUCACUAUGCAGAUGGAGCUGAAAAAGAAACCGAUGAAAGAUGCACAAGCCAUGGCUGAGAAAAAAAGUGAUGGACUGGUCAAAGAUAGAAAGGGCAGACAGCUCAAGGUCACUGAGGAGAAAGAGGGACCUGAAGAAUCAGAUUCACAAGUAGGGGUAUGACUCACUAGUAGUAGUUUAGCUUCUAUUGCAUUUGGUUUUUUGAUAUUAAUUUGUUUUCUUUGCUUCACCUGAAACUGUAAUUACAUGCUUUAUUUUUUUCUUAUCUAUCUAUAUCUAUAUCACUAUGCAGAUGGAGCUGAAAAAGAAACCGAUGAAAGAUGCACAAGCCAUGGCUGAGAAAAAAAGUGAUGGACUGGUCAAAGAUAGAAAGGGCAGACAGCUCAAGGUCACUGAGGAGAAAGAGGGACCUGAAGAAUCAGAUUCACAAGUAGGGGUAUGACUCACUAGUAGGAGUUUAGCUUCUAUUGCAUUUGGUUUUUUGAUAUUAAUUUGUUUUCUUUGCUUCACCUGAAACUGUAAUUACAUGCUUUAUUUUUUUCUUAUCUAUCUAUAUAUCUAUAUCACUAUGCAGAUGGAGCUGAAAAAGAAACCG
rnacentral:lncRNA from 1 species